rnacentral:rRNA from 1 species
UACGGGGGGGGCAAGCGUUGUUCGGAAUUACUGGGCGUAAAGGGCGCGUAGGCGGCCUUCUAAGUCGGACGUGAAAUCCCUCGGCUUAACCGAGGAACUGCGUCCGAUACUGAAAGGCUUGAAUCCGGGAGAGGGAUGUGGAAUUCCAGGUGUAGCGGUGAAAUGCGUAGAUAUCUGGAGGAGCACCGGUGGCGAAGGCGGCAUCCUGGACCGGUAUUGACGCUGAGGCGCGAAAGCUAGGGGAGCAAACGGG